UAAUAUUCACAAUUGAGUAUUUUUCAUAAGAUUUCUAGCACGAACAUCCUUAUUGAGUACCUAAUAUAGUGGGUCAUACUUUGAUGCUUUAUACAUUAGCAGCCAGGAGAGAGAGAGAGGGGGGACAUGGGACACAAGUGGUUAGUAAAAUAUAUAUUUUGAAAGAGAUAUUUAUAUAUUUUAUACAAUUUUAUAGGCAUAUAUAUAUAUCUUCCAUUAAGAAAGAAAAUGAACUCAACACAAUUAUUAAUUCUCUAAAGAUGGCUAACAAGUUCCUAUCUCACAAGCUCUCUUCCUUUUUCUGUGUUCUCCUUGUUUCACUUGUUGUUAAUUCAUUUUGGUCCUCAAACACUCAAGUGAUGGCAUUUAGAAGCUUACCAUAUUUAGAAGAAGAAAUACAAAUGAUUGAGCAACUUCUAAAACCUUACAAAUCUUCGUGUGGCAAAUCUUGCACAUCUCAUCAAUAUUGCCAAGCUUUUAAAGGUUCACCAUGUACACAAUGUAGAUUGCAAUAUAAAACAUCCAAAGUAUGGAAAUGUUGGCACUGGAGAUAAUUAUUACGAAGUUUUGAGGCAGUGGUAUGGUCUGCGUACAUUCUAGCCUAUUCAAAUUGCGCUUUUUGGAAUUACACUAGAUAUGCUGUUGUAGCUAGAGAUGAACUUCCACUAGUUCAUGGAGGAGGCACCAACAACUUGCUAUCAUUGUAUUAAUAUUUCUGUCCUUUAUUUUCUUUUGAGAUGUGUCUUGUAUAAGUGUUGUUGAUCUGUUGCUGAAUAACUCAUUGCUAAUAAUAUUUUGAUAUUUUUAUCGUGAA